rnacentral:rRNA from 1 species
AGAUUGAACGCUGGCGGCAGGCCUAACACAUGCAAGUCGAGCGGCAGCACGGGUACUUGUACCUGGUGGCGAGCGGCGGACGGGUGAGUAAUGCCUAGGAAUCUGCCUGGUAGUGGGGGAUAACGCUCGGAAACGGACGCUAAUACCGCAUACGUCCUACGGGAGAAAGCAGGGGACCUUCGGGCCUUGCGCUAUCAGAUGAGCCUAGGUCGGAUUAGCUAGUUGGUGGGGUAAUGGCUCACCAAGGCGACGAUCCGUAACUGGUCUGAGAGGAUGAUCAGUCACACUGGAACUGAGACACGGUCCAGACUCCUACGGGAGGCAGCAGUGGGGAAUAUUGGACAAUGGGCGAAAGCCUGAUCCAGCCAUGCCGCGUGUGUGAAGAAGGUCUUCGGAUUGUAAAGCACUUUAAGUUGGAGGAAGGCAGUUACCUAAUACGUAUCUGUUUGACGUUACGACAGAAUAAGCACCGGCUAACUCUGUGCCAGCACG